CUGCGUGGCUAAAGCAGAUG
rnacentral:siRNA from 1 species